AUUGAACGCUGGCGGCAGGCUUAACACAUGCAAGUCGAGCGAGCGGCGGACGGGUGAGUAAUGUCUGGGCAACUGCCUGAUGGUGGGGGUUAACUUCUGGAACCGGUAGCUAAUACCGCAUACCAUCAGAUGUUCCCCGAUGGGAUUAGCUAGUAGGUGGGGUAAUGGCUCACCUGGGCGACGAUCCCUAGCUGGUCUGAGAGGAUGACAAGCCACACGGGAACUGAGACACGGUCCAGACUCCUACGGUAGGCAGCAGUGGGGAAUAGUGCACAAUGGGCGCAAGCAUGAUGCAGCCAUGCCGCGUGUGUGAAGAAGGCCUUCGGGUUGUAAAGCACUUUCAGCGAGGAGGCGUUACUCGCAGAAGAAGCACCGGCUAACUCCGUGCCAGCAGCCGCGGUAAUAC
rnacentral:rRNA from 1 species